rnacentral:misc_RNA from 1 species
GAAAACUAUGACUGCUUGUGGAUAUAUGGACAUUUCCCAGGCACAAAAGGAAGUAAAUGAAAAGACAGAAAUGUAAGAAAAGGCU